UACGGGGGGGGCAAGCGUUGUUCGGAAUUACUGGGCGUAAAGGGCUCGUAGGCGGCCAACUAAGUCGGACGUGAAAUCCCUCGGCUUAACCGGGGAACUGCGUCCGAUACUGGAUGGCUUGAGUUUGGGAGAGGGAUGCGGAAUUCCAGGUGUAGCGGUGAAAUGCGUAGAUAUUCGCAAGAACACCAGUGGCGAAGGCGGCUCACUGGCCCGGUACUGACGCUGAGGUGCGAAAGCGUGGGGAGCAAACAGG
rnacentral:rRNA from 1 species